UCGGGAAUAUUGGACAAUGGGCGCAAGCCUGAUCCAGCCAUGCCGCGUGAGUGACGAAGGCCUUAGGGUUGUAAAGCUCUUUUGGCGGGGAAGAUAAUGACGGUACCCGCAGAAUAAGCUCCGGCUAACUUCGUGCCAGCAGCCGCGGUAAUACGAAGGGAGCUAGCGUUGUUCGGAAUCACUGGGCGUAAAGCGCACGUAGGCGGAUGUGUCAGUCAGGGGUGAAAUCCCGGAGCUCAACUUCGGAACUGCCCUUGAUACAGCACGUCUUGAGUCCGAUAGAGGUGGGUGGAAUUCCUAGUGUAGAGGUGAAAUUCGUAGAUAUUAGGAAGAACACCGGUGGCGAAGGCGGCCCACUGGAUCGGUACUGACGCUGAGGUGCGAAAGCGUGGGGAGCAAACAGGAUUAGAUACCCACGUAGUCCCUGAGCGGGCUGGCAAGGCGCAU
rnacentral:rRNA from 1 species